rnacentral:rRNA from 1 species
UGGGGAAUAUUGCACAAUGGGCGCAAGCCUGAUGCAGCAACGCCGCGUGAGGGACGACGGCCUUCGGGUUGUAAACCUCUUUUAGUAGGGAAGAAGCGAAAGUGACGGUACCUGCAGAAAAAGCACCGGCUAACUACGUGCCAGCAGCCGCGGUAAUACGUAGGGUGCGAGCGUUGUCCGGAAUUAUUGGGCGUAAAGAGCUCGUAGGCGGUCUGUCGCGUCUGCUGUGAAAACCCGAGGCUCAACCUCGGGCCUGCAGUGGGUACGGGCAGACUAGAGUGCGGUAGGGGAGAAUGGAAUUCCUGGUGUAGCGGCGGAAUGCGCAGAUAUCAGGAGGAACACCGAUGGCGAAGGCAGUUCUCUGGGCCGUAACUGACGCUGAGGAGCGAAAGCGUGGGGAGCGAACAGGAUUAGAUACCCUGGUAGUCCACGCCGUAAACGUUGGGCGCUAGAUGUGGGGCACCAUUCCACGGUUU